rnacentral:rRNA from 1 species
AGCGAACGCUGGCGGCAGGCUUAACACAUGCAAGUCGAGCGCCUCGCAAGAGGAGCGGCAGACGGGUGAGUAACGCGUGGGAAACUACCCCGAGGUACGGAACAACUCGGCGAAAGCUGAGCUGAUACCGUAUGUGACCGAGAGGUGAAAGAUUUAUCGCCUCGGGAUGUGCCCGCGUAGGAUUAGCUAGUUGGUGGGGUAAUGGCCCACCAAGGCGACGAUCCUUAGCUGGUCUGAGAGGAUGAUCAGCCACACUGGGACUGAGACACGGCCCAGACUCCUACGGGAGGCAGCAGUGGGGAAUAUUGGACAAUGGGCGCAAGCCUGAUCCAGCCAUGCCGCGUGAGUGAUGAAGGCCUUAGGGUUGUAAAGCUCUUUCGCCCGCGAAGAUAAUGACGGUAGCGGGAGAAGAAGCCCCGGCUAACUUCGUGCCAGCCGCCGCAGUAACAC